rnacentral:tRNA from 2 species
UGCUUUGUAGUUUACUAUAAAAUAUAGAUUUUGUAAAUCUAAGAUAAAGAGGCAA